CAGAACGACGCUGGCGGCAGGCCUAACACAUGCAAGUCGAGCGCCAGCAAUGGGGAGCGGCAGACGGGUGAGUAACGCGUGGGAACCUUCCUGAUAGUACGGAAUAGCCCAGGGAAACUUGGAGUAAUACCGUAUACGCCCGCAAGGGGGAAAGAUUUUAUCGCUGUCAGAUGGGCCCGCGUAGGAUUAGCUAGUUGGUGAGGUAAACGGGCUCACCAAGGGCGACGAUCCUUAGCUGGUUUGAGAGAAUGACCAGCCACACUGGGACUGAGACACGGCCCAGACUCCUACGGGAGGCAGCAGUGGGGAAUCUUGGACAAUGGGCGCAAGCCUGAUCCAGCCAUGCCGCGUGAGUGACGAAGGUCUUCGGAUUGUAAAGCUCUUUUGCCAGGGACGAUAAUGACGGUACCUGGAGAAUAAGCCCCGGCUAACUUCGUG
rnacentral:rRNA from 1 species